CUGUGUGUUGUUGGGUAGGGGAGCGUUCUGUAAGCCUGUGAAGGUGGCCUGUGAGGGUUGCUGGAGGUAUCAGAAGUGCGAAUGCUGACAUAAGUAACGAUAAAGCGGGUGAAAAGCCCGCUCGCCGGAAGACCAAGGGUUCCUGUCCAACGUUAAUCGGGGCAGGGUGAGUCGACCCCUAAGGCGAGGCCGAAAGGCGUAGUCGAUGGGAAACAGGUUAAUAUUCCUGUACUUGGUGUUACUGCGAAGGGGGGACGGAGAAGGCUAUGUUGGCCGGGCGACGGUUGUCCCGGUUUAAGCGUGUAGGCUGGUUUUCCAGGCAAAUCCGGAAAAUCAAGGCUGAGGCGUGAUGACGAGGCACUACGGUGCUAAAGCAACAAAUGCCCUGCUUCCAGGAAAAGCCUCUAAGCAUCAGGUAACAUCAAAUCGUACCCCAAACCGACACAGGUGGUCAGGUAGAGAAUACCAAGGCGCUUGAGAGAACUCGGGUGAAGGAACUAGGCAAAAUGGUGCCGUAACUUCGGGAGAAGGCACGCUGACACGUAGGUGAAGUGAUUUACUCAUGGAGCUGAAGUCAGUCGAAGAUACCAGCUGGCUGCAACUGUUUAUUAAAAACACAGCACUGUGCAAACACGAAAGUGGACGUAUACGGUGUGACGCCUGCCCGGUGCCGGAAGGUUAAUUGAUGGGGUCAGCGCAAGCGAAGCUCCUGAUCGAAGCCCCGGUAAACGGCGGCCGUAACUAUAACGGUCCUAAGGUAGCGAAAUUCCUUGUCGGGUAAGUUCCGACCUGCACGAAUGGCGUAAUGAUGGCCAGGCUGUCUCCACCCGAGACUCAGUGAAAUUGAACUCGCUGUGAAGAUGCAGUGUACCCGCGGCAAGACGGAAAGACCCCGUGAACCUUUACUAUAGCUUGACACUGAACAUUGAGCCUUGAUGUGUAGGAUAGGUGGGAGGCUUUGAAGUGUGGACGCCAGUCUGCAUGGAGCCGACCUUGAAAUACCACCCUUUAAUGUUUGAUGUUCUAACGUGGACCCGUAAUCCGGGUUGCGGACAGUGUCUGGUGGGUAGUUUGACUGGGGCGGUCUCCUCCUAAAGAGUAACGGAGGAGCACGAAGGUUGGCUAAUCCUGGUCGGACAUCAGGAGGUUAGUGCAAUGGCAUAAGCCAGCUUGACUGCGAGCGUGACGGCGCGAGCAGGUGCGAAAGCAGGUCAUAGUGAUCCGGUGGUUCUGAAUGGAAGGGCCAUCGCUCAACGGAUAAAAGGUACUCCGGGGAUAACAGGCUGAUACCGCCCAAGAGUUCAUAUCGACGGCGGUGUUUGGCACCUCGAUGUCGGCUCAUCACAUCCUGGGGCUGAAGUAGGUCCCAAGGGUAUGGCUGUUCGCCAUUUAAAGUGGUACGCGAGCUGGGUUUAGAACGUCGUGAGACAGUUCGGUCCCUAUCUGCCGUGGGCGCUGGAGAACUGAGGGGGGCUGCUCCUAGUACGAGAGGACCGGAGUGGACGCAUCACUGGUGUUCGGGUUGUCAUGCCAAUGGCACUGCCCGGUAGCUAAAUGCGGAAGAGAUAAGUGCUGAAAGCAUCUAAGCACGAAACUUGCCCCGAGAUGAGUUCUCCCUGAGACUUAGAGUCUCCUGAAGGAACGUUGAAGACGACGACGUUGAUAGGCCGGGUGUGUAAGCGCAGCGAUGCGUUGAGCUAACCGGUACUAAUGAACCGUGAGGCUUAACCUUACAA
rnacentral:rRNA from 1 species